UUUGGUCUGUCUUCACAUGCUUUACAACAUAUCCCCUCUUAUUUGGUCUGUCUUCACAUGCUUUACAGCAUAUCCCCUCUUAUUUGGUCUGUCUUCACAUGCUUUACAGCAUAUCCCCUCUUAUUUGGUCUGUCUUCACGGGCUUUACAGCAUAUCCCCUCUUAUUUGGUCUGUCUUCACGGGCUUUACAGCAUAUCCCCCCUUAUUUGGUCUGUCUUCACAUGCUUUACAGCAUAUCCCCUCUUAUUUGGUCUGUCUUCACAGGCUUUACAGCAUAUCCCCCCUUAUUUGGUCUGUCUUCACAUGCUUUACAGCAUAUCCCCCUUAUUUGGUCUGUCUUCACAUGCUUUACAACAUAUCCCCCUUAUUUAGUCUGUCUUUACAGGCUUUACAGCAUAUCCCCCUUAUUUGGUCU
ensembl:lncRNA